CCUACGGGAGGCAGCAGUGGGGAAUUUUGGACAAUGGGCGCAAGCCUGAUCCAGCAAUGCCGCGUGCAGGAUGAAGGCCUUCGGGUUGUAAACUGCUUUUGUACGGAACGAAACGGUCUGCCCUAAUACGGUGGGCUAAUGACGGUACCGUAAGAAUAAGCACCGGCUAACUACGUGCCAGCAGCCGCGGUAAUACGUAGGGUGCGAGCGUUAAUCGGAAUUACUGGGCGUAAAGCGUGCGCAGGCGGUUAUAUAAGACAGAUGUGAAAUCCCCGGGCUCAACCUGGGACCUGCAUUUGUGACUGUAUAGCUAGAGUACGGUAGAGGGGGAUGGAAUUCCGCGUGUAGCAGUGAAAUGCGUAGAUAUGCGGAGGAACACCGAUGGCGAAGGCAAUCCCCUGGACCUGUACUGACGCUCAUGCACGAAAGCGUGGGGAGCAAACAGGAUUAGAUACCCUGGUAGUCCACGCCCUAAACGAUGUCAACUGGUUGUUGGGUCUUCACUGACUCAGUAACGAAGCUAACGCGUGAAGUUGACCGCCUGGGGAGUACGGCCGCAAGGUUGAAACUCAAAGAGUAGUACGACGCGNGAGAGCGACGACGACGACGACGGAGGGAGGAGG
rnacentral:rRNA from 1 species